UUCAUUCAUGGUUUCUUAUUUCUGCCAAAAAUCAAAACUUUACAACAGAAUUUUUGUUUUCAAAUCAAAAUAUACACAUCAUCAAAUCUAUUAUCUAUUUUUCAUAAGAAACCAAAUAAAGAGUAAUUACAUAGGAUAAAAGAAAGGGUUAGAGAUGAAGAAGGAAUUCUGGAGUGUUGCCGCCGGCGCUACGCGCCACGGCGACCUGAGAGGUAGGGGACAAGGGCGGCGGCGCGGUGGCCACGGCCGCUGCUGUGCUGU
rnacentral:lncRNA from 1 species